rnacentral:rRNA from 1 species
GAUGAACGCUGGCGGCGUGCCUAAUACAUGCAAGUCGAGCGAACGGACGAGAAGCUUGCUUCUCUGAUGUUAGCGGCGGACGGGUGAGUAACACGUGGAUAACCUACCUAUAAGACUGGGAUAACUUCGGGAAACCGGAGCUAAUACCGGAUAAUAUUUUGAACCGCAUGGUUCAAAAGUGAAAGACGGUCUUGCUGUCACUUAUAGAUGGAUCCGCGCUGCAUUAGCUAGUUGGUAAGGUAACGGCUUACCAAGGCAACGAUGCAUAGCCGACCUGAGAGGGUGAUCGGCCACACUGGAACUGGGACACGGUCCAGACUCCUACGGGAGGCAGCAGUAGGGAAUCUUCCGCAAUGGGCGAAAGCCUGACGGAGCAACGCCGCGUGAGCGAUGAAGGUCUUCGGAUCGUAAAACUCUGUUAUUAGGGAAGAACAUAUGUGUAAGUAACUGUGCACAUCUUGACGGUACCUAAUCAGAAAGCCACGGCUAACUACGUG